rnacentral:lncRNA from 10 species
CACUUCUGAAAGGGACAAGGCCAGUUAUCCUGCAGAGUAACCCACAGUGUGGAUUUGUCUCAUGUUUCCUCCUGACUACUUAGUCAGAUAUGUUUGGUGUAAACAGCUCAGAGGGCAAGCUGUGUCCUUUUCAGUGCAUUACAUCUGGAGGCUCCCGAUGCUGGCCUGGCCUGAUUUUGGUGAGGGGCCUGGAUUUUCAGCUGGAAGGCCGGUGCGUGUUCUCGCCUCCUGGAGGCACCCCCAGCAUGGAGGGAAGAGGGGAAGGAAUGUGCAUAGCUCCUCGGUGAAUUAGUGUUAGCCACGGGAGGAGCACGGUCUCUGGGACUCUUCGAUCCCCACAGACGACAACCAAAAACUCAGAAGGAAGUCCGUCCAUCACAGCCUGAGAUGCACUCUCCCAGUGCCUCUCCCUGGACCAUUUCUCAGUGUGUCAAGGGCCCUGUCACCUCCAUGAAGUCUUCAUGAUUCUCUUGGGCAGAAGCAGUUGCUCCCUCCUCUCUCCUUCUGCAACCCUUCGCCUCAUUUUCCUGCUUGCUGCAAUCUGUUAGAGUUCACUGUGAGGCUCUUACUGCCCCUGUAUAUCCAGGCCCAGUAGAGAAGCCCAGGCCCAGGGCCCAGCAGAGAAGCUUCUCCAUAAAUAUUU